rnacentral:rRNA from 1 species
UGAGGAAUAUUGGUCAAUGGACGCAAGUCUGAACCAGCCAUGCCGCGUGAAGGAUGAAGGCCUUCUGGGUUGUAAACUUCUUUUACAGGAGAAGAAAACUAUGGUUUCUACUAUAGCCGACGGUACCCCGGGAAAUAAGCACCGGCUAACUCCGUGCCAGCAGCCGCGGUAAUACGGAGGGUGCAAGCGUUAUCCGGAUUUACUGGGUUUAAAGGGUGUGUAGGCGGGUCUUUAAGUCAGUGGUGAAAUCUCCGAGCUCAACUUGGAAACUGCCAUUGAUACUAUUGAUCUUGAAUUCUGUUGAGGUUGGCGGAAUAAGUCAUGUAGCGGUGAAAUGCAUAGAUAUGACUUAGAACUCCGAUUGCGAAGGCAGCUAACUAAACAGACAUUGACGCUGAGGCACGAAAGCGUGGGGAUCAAACAGG